rnacentral:lncRNA from 11 species
ACCAGGGCUGACCCUGCUUAGCAUCGAGAUCAAACUGGAUCUGGGGCCUUUCUAGGUAGACUGACACAGAUGUUCGCCAGUCUCGUUGAAAACCUUGCAGGGGAGCUUGACCUAUAUGGGCAUCUUUGCCACCAAACCAACAGCGUUGAUGUUGCCCCCUAAAUCCGGCAUAGCAAUCCGUGACAAGAGGAAAACAAGCGAGUUCGCUUCUUUUUCCCCCCGGUCAUCACCCUUUCUGAAAAGGGAUAUGAAGCAGAUCUUGAAGUGAUCUUUGUCUUCCACCUUUCUACUAUGACACCUUGCGAAGAAGUCAUCAAGGAGGUUGCCUCUGAGCAAGUGCGGAGUGCUGUUUAAAAAAAGUUUUAAAACUCCAAACUACACUGAGUAUGGACAAAGCGUUAAGGAGGUUACUUCUGAGCAAGUACAGAGUGCCAUUUGAAAAAAAAUCGAAGUAAAAUGUGGAAUAUGGAAGCAGCAGUAAGGAGUUGAUUUCUGAGCAAAUGUUGCAUUACUUUAAAAUAAAACAAAACAAAAUCAGCCAUGAGUAUUCACAGCAAUUCUCUUAUCCUUAUGGAAAUAAUGGGGAAGGCUUUCCCCAUAUAGAAUCCAAU